AGCGAACGCUGGCGGCAGGCCUAACACAUGCAAGUCGAACGGAUCCUUCGGGAUUAGUGGCGGACGGGUGAGUAACACGUGGGAACGUGCCCUUUGGUUCGGAACAACUCAGGGAAACUUGAGCUAAUACCGGAUGUGCCCUUCGGGGGAAAGAUUUAUCGCCAUUGGAGCGGCCCGCGUCUGAUUAGCUAGUUGGUGAGGUAACGGCCCACCAAGGCGACGAUCAGUAGCUGGUCUGAGAGGAUGAUCAACCACACUGGGACUGAGACACGGCCCAGACUCCUACGGGAGGCAGCAGUGGGGAAUCUUGCGCAAUGGGCGAAAGCCUGACGCAGCCAUGCCGCGUGAAUGAUGAAGGUCUUAGGAUUGUAAAAUUCUUUCAGCGGGGACGAUAAUGACGGUACCCGCAGAAGAAGCUCCGGCUAACUUCGUG
rnacentral:rRNA from 1 species